rnacentral:rRNA from 1 species
AUUGAACGCUGGCGGCAGGCCUAACACAUGCAAGUCGAGCGGAUGAAGGGAGCUUGCUCCUGGAUUCAGCGGCGGACGGGUGAGUAAUGCCUAGGAAUCUGCCUGGCAGUGGGGGAUAACGUCCGGAAACGGGCGCUAAUACCGCAUACGUCCUGAGGGAGCAAGUGGGUGGGCUUCGGACCUCACGCUAUCAGAUGAGCCUAGGUGGGAUUAGCUAGCUGGUGGGGGAAAGGCCUACCAAGGCGGCGAUCCGUAACUGGCCGGAGAGGAUGAUCAGUCACACGGGAACUGAGACACGGUCCAGACGCCUACGGGAGGGAGCAGUGGGGAAUAUUGGACAAUGGGCGAGAGCCUGAUCCAGCGAUGCCGCGUGUGUGAAGAAGGUCUUCGGAUUGUAAAGCACUUUAAGUUGGGAGGAAGGGCAGUAAGUUAAUACCUUGCUGUAUUGACGUUACCAACAGAAUAAGCACCGGCUAACUUCGUG